rnacentral:piRNA from 1 species
UGGGAAGAUGCCCAUGACUUACCUUGGUUUC